GCGAACGGAUCAAAAAACAUAUUGAAUUCGGUGUACUUGUUGGAAGGAAUAGAGAAGACAUUUCCUAUAUUGAGGCGACUUCUGCUGAUAUGUCCUCCAACAAUAUACAGGUCCUGCAAUUACAGCAAAUGAAAAAUAUUAAUAUCGACAGAAAACCUGAUUCUGGGAAAACGUUGAUCAACUUCCGAAAAUCCAAGUACCUCGAUCAGUGAAGCUGUUCUUGUAUGAGUUAUAAUCUUGGCCAAAGUAGUCAAAGGUCCAUUUGUCAAUACUGUAAUUUUGGAUCCAGGAUCCAAAGUUCUCAAUAUUGAGUUCCAAAUUUCCAGUGCCAA